AUGCUCGCUUCGGCAGCACGUAUGCUAAAAUUGGAAUGAUACAGAGAUUAGCAUGGCCCCUGCGCAAGGGUGACACGCAAAUUCAUGAAGUGUUCCAUGUUUAA